rnacentral:tRNA from 1 species
GAGGUGGUAGCUCAGUGGUUGAGUGCUUGCCUUGCAUGCAGGAGGCAUUGGGUUUAAUCCUCAGCACCACA